CAAGGAAUUUUCCCCAAUGGGCGCAAGCCUGAGGGAGCAACGCCGCGUGCAGGACGACGGCUUUCGGGUUGUAAACUGCUUUUGCGUGGGACGAUAACGACGGUACCACGCGAAUAAGCCCCGGCUAACUCCGUGCCAGCAGCCGCGGUAAUACGGAGGGGGCUAGCGUUGUUCGGAAUUACUGGGCGUAAAGCGCGCGUAGGCGGACUUUCAAGUCAGGGGUGAAAUCCCGAGGCUCAACCUCGGAACUGCCUUUGAUACUGAUCGUCUUGAGUCCGAGAGAGGUGAGUGGAAUUCCUAGUGUAGAGGUGAAAUUCGUAGAUAUUAGGAAGAACACCAGUGGCGAAGGCGGCUCACUGGCUCGGUACUGACGCUGAGGCGCGAAAGCGUGGGGAGCAAACAGGAUUAGAUACCCCCGUAGUCC
rnacentral:rRNA from 1 species